AGCGAACGCUGGCGGCAGGCUUAACACAUGCAAGUCGAGCGGGCCCUUCGGGGUCAGCGGCGGACGGGUGAGUAACGCGUGGGAACGUGCCCUCUGGUCUGGAAUAACCCUGGGAAACUAGGGCUAAUACCGGAUACGCCCUUUUGGGGAAAGGCUUGCUGCCGGAGGAUCGGCCCGCGUCUGAUUAGCUAGUUGGUGGGGUAACGGCCUACCAAGGCGACGAUCAGUAGCUGGUCUGAGAGGAUGAUCAGCCACACUGGGACUGAGACACGGCCCAGACUCCUACGGGAGGCAGCAGUGGGGAAUAUUGGACAAUGGGCGCAAGCCUGAUCCAGCCAUGCCGCGUGAGUGAUGAAGGCCUUAGGGUUGUAAAGCUCUUUUAUCCGGGACGAUAAUGACGGUACCGGAGGAAUAAGCCCCGGCUAACUUCGUGCCAGCCGCCGCAGUAA
rnacentral:rRNA from 1 species